rnacentral:rRNA from 1 species
AACGAACGCUGGCGGCAUGCCUAACACAUGCAAGUCGAACGAGACCUUCGGGUCUAGUGGCGCACGGGUGCGUAACGCGUGGGAACCUGCCCUUAGGUUCGGAAUAACUCCCCGAAAGGGGUGCUAAUACCGGAUAAUGUCUUCGGACCAAAGAUUUAUCGCCGUUGGAUGGGCCCGCGUUGGAUUAGCUAGUUGGUAGGGUAAAAGCCUACCAAGGCGACGAUCCAUAGCUGGUCUGAGAGGAUGAUCAGCCACACUGGGACUGAGACACGGCCCAGACUCCUACGGGAGGCAGCAGUGGGGAAUAUUGGACAAUGGGCGAAAGCCUGAUACAGCAAUGCCGCGUGAGUGAUGAAGGCCUUAGGGUUGUAAAGCUCUUUUACCCGGGAUGAUAAUGACAGUACCGGGAGAAUAAGCUCCGGCUAACUCCGUG